rnacentral:piRNA from 1 species
UCUGCCUGGAAUGCCCUUUCCCCUGCUUGC